CUGCAAGCCUCGGCUUCUUCGCUACUCCAAAACCAACCCUUCACGAGACGAUGAAAGAGUCGGCGGCGCAACUUGGUGAGAAUGGAUUUGUUAAAUAUAUAUAGGAGAGAUUACCUGCAGUUGGUCUCCAAUGUUGAUGACCAAUGCAUUAGGCUGGGGAUUGACAGCGAUCCAUUGGCCAUCCUUGAGAACUUGCAAGCCAGCCACAGUUGGGUCCGGGAGAAGGAUGGUAAGGGCAUUAGGAUCUGUGUGGGCUUGCAAGCCAUAAGUCAGCUCCGGUUCUGGGCACUUGGGGUAGUGGUUGAUCGCCAUGUGCUGCUCUUGUUCCCCCAGCACCUUCACCAAGUAAUCCUCCUCCAGCUCCAGGCUCAAAGAUAUUGCUCGGAGGAGCCUCAUCCCCAGUUGGCGGACUUCACUACAGUAAGUGCUCACCACUUCCCUG